rnacentral:rRNA from 1 species
CCUGCCCACUGUUGGUAUAAAGGGCUGCAGUAUUUUGACUGUGCAAAGGUAGCAUAGUAGAUUGUCUUUUAAAAGGGGGCUGGUAUGAAAGGUUUAACAAGGCUAAAGCUGUUCCUUUCUAUUUAUUGAAUUUAAGGUUACUGUAAAAACGCAGUAGUGAAACUAAGGGACGAUAAGACCCUAUAAAUUUUAGUAGGUGAAUGCUAGUCAAGAAACUUAAGCUAUAUUCUACUUAGUUGGGGCAACAUUUAUGGUUAAAUCAUAAAUUUUAAUACAAGAUGGUUGGAGUAAAGAGCCGGAAUACCGCAAAAGAUAAAAAUACUUUAGGGAUAACAGCGUUAUUGUUUCGGAGAGUUCAAAUCUAUGAAACAGAUUACGACCUCGAUGUUGAAUUAAGAUAACUUUUAGGUGUAGCAGCUUAAACACGUUAGCCUGUUCGGCUAUAUUACUCUUACGUGAUCUGAGUU